CAGCGCUGCCAAUGAGGAGUAUUUACUGAGUGAGUGGAAGACGUUUGUUUGCAAUGGAGAGAUCAGCGCCAGGGAAGCUAGGGAACAGCAGGCUCCUUCCAGCAGCACAUCGCAAUGAGGUGUGUCUUCUGUCUUCCUCCAGGCAAGGAGGACUUGAAGGACCAGGAGGUUAUAUUUCCUUGGUACAAAGCCAAGUGUGACUAGCUGCUUCAAACAAUCAGCAGUCCAGCAAGAAACAUUUCUACAAAGGGCUUGACAUUCCUCUUGACCUUCCCUAGGGUACAAUCAUGUCAGUUUCCAAGUUCUUCUCUGUUGGAUGCCAGACACACGUGAGCAAAAUUUGGAAUACACGUUCAGACCAGAGACUGACCAAUCUAAAAUGAACUUACAAUCAGAGACUGACAAAGGGAGAAAUGCAUCAACCUUCACUUAUAGCCCCUGUCACAGAUGGCAUUAGAUAAAGACUAAUUCAUGUCGAGCAGCCGAGAUUAAAACAUUCAAACAAACUCCUGCAACUUCUAAAAGUGACAUGUUCAUUUUAAAAUGAUACUCCUGCACUGUGAAAUACAAUGACAAAUAAUGAGGAGCAGAUUGACAUAUAAUGCCAGACACUGAAUAAAUUCCAUGCUCACUGUCAGCCCGGUACUGAUGAAAACUCACUUGAUCAAUGCUCAUACUCUGGUCGAGAGACUGACUCUUGCAGAAGCAUGUCCACUCUUUCUCAAUGUAUGAAAAAUUGAUUUACAGUACAUUAAUCACACCUCAUGAAGAGUAUCAGAUCAUGACAUGCAGAGCUAGAAACACAAGGAGACAUACAGAAACAGGCAGUGUGACUUGAAUCAGUACCAGUCUUUAAAGUUAUACGGAUCAGGAGCAUGCAAGAAAACUUGCUCACGGUCAGUCAUUGAACGAUGAAAGGAAAAGAAUGAAAUUUAGCCAUACACAGAUUUACAGAUAUGGACAAAUGUAAAUUGACACUCAAACUCACCGAUCACAACAGAAAGGAGGUUAGUGUUAGAUGUUUGUUUGUUACAGUGCCCAGCAGUGACUGACAAAGCCCACUGUGCACUCAAAUUAAAAAAAAACUGAGAUUGAAUGCAAUGAAAUUAAGCCUCACGGUAAGGACAAAUGUCAAUGCAAAAUCAAUCCCUCAAUCACACAAGGUCAAUGAAUAUCUACAGAGUUUAUGCUACAUUCAGACACAAAAACACAAAUGAACAUGGAAGGAGAAUGAAAUCCAUAUACUGUACCUGAGACUGUUGCAGACACCACAAAGCUGGCACUGUAGCUAUUCAAAGGUAGAUAACUACAGAACUAAUGUCAAAUUGGCACUAACAGAUGGACACUGGCAGUGAAUAGAAGAAGUUCACAUUCCCAACACUUACUGGAAACUAGUAUGCAGAAUAGAAUGUCCCAGUGCAAGCACAAUGGGCUGAAUGGCCUGCUUCCACACUGCACCUCAUAAUGAUUCUGAUCCUGGUGAUAAAGGAAAUGACAUUCUGUUGUAUAGAGCAUUAGUAUAAAAAUAUAAUGUAGAAAUAGACAGACAGGUGCAGAACAAAACUCUUUUUAAUGAAAGAGCACUAACAAUGUCCAAUACAAAAUGAAUCUAAAUAUCUCAUUGAUACUACAGAACCCUGGAAAAAAAAAAUCCUGUAAUGACACAGAGAACCAGCAUCUGGUACAUGUGGUAUAUAAAACCCACACUCAGCGUGCAAACUAGGAAACAUGUUGUUGAUUCAGAAUGGUUCUCAGAUGAAAGCAGCCCCACUCCUAUGACCCCUCCUAGACCCUGCCAACUGAUAGUCCACUCAGAAGUCACAAAAUGCAGAAGAGAUUAAUACCCAGUCUCAACACCCUAAUAGCUAUAUCAGAAUGUGUUGCAUAGUCACGGAGAAUAUUACUGGCUGCCAGAGAAUCAAGGCACAUUGAUACACAAUAGUAGAAACUGACAGGUACAGAUUGAUACCUACACUGACUCAUUCACAUUCCAGAAACAGACAAAAGAAAGCUGAUGACAAAACUCACAUUCACAUGGCAGGAAUUGAUAGGUACAGAUUUAUCAUGCCACUCAUAUUCAAACAGCAGAAAUUGACAGGCAUGGACUGAUAAUUUUACUUGCCCAUUCACACAGCAGAAACUGACUGGGAGAGAAUGAUAAAUGCAUUUACACAUUCAAAACCCAGAAACUGACAGGUACAGAUUAAUAACUAAUAACUCUCAGAUCCACAGAGCUGGAACUGACACAGACAGAUGGGGAAAUGCACUCACACAUAUAUGUUGCAGAUACUGACAGGAAGAAUAUUAUUAUUACAUACAAAUUCACAGAGUAAAAACUGACAGGUACACAUUGAUAAAUGCAUUUACACAUUCAAAGCCAGAAACUGACAGGUGGAAAUUGAUGUAAAAUCAUGCAUUCACAGAGCAUAAUGAUUGAUAAUGACAGUCUUGGUUUCAAAUAACUGACGGGGACAGAUUGGUAACUUCACUCACCGAUUCACAGAGCAGAAACUGACAGGCAUAGACCGAUAAUUACACUCAUCUACUGCCAAAGGUUAAGAUCGAAAAUGACAUGCACAUAUUCACAAAGAAGAAACUGACAGGUAUUCACUGAUAACUAAACUCAUAUAUUGACAUAACAGAAACCGUAAGGGAUAGACUGAUCCUUACACAAACAUAUUCACCAAGCAGAGGUUGACAGGUACAGAUUGAUAACUACAUAAACAUAUUCACACAACAGUCUGAACAGACCGAUGUUAAACUCACAUAUUGACAGAGCAGAAACUGACAGGCAGAGAUUGACAAUGAAACUCUCAUUCUCAUAGCUGAAACUGACAGGUAUAGGUUAAUAACGACAUCCUCAUAUUCACACAGAAAAACAGACUGUUCAGAAUGAUAAAUUCAUUCACACAUUCACAAACCAGAAACUGACAGGUGCAGAAUAAUAACUACAUUGACAUAUUUACAUAGCAGAAACUGACAUGGAUAGAAUAAAAAUAUCACUCUCAGGUUCAUUUGGCAUAAUCUGACCAGUAUAGUUUGACAACUAAAUUCAUUUUCACAGAACAGAAUUUGCCAAAUAAAUAUUGAUAACUAUACUCCCAUAUUGACAGAGCAUAAACUGACAGGCAUAGUUUGAUAACUGUACUCACAUAUUCCAAGAGCAGAAUCUGACAGGUACAGAUACAUAACUGCACUCACAUAUUAACAUAUCGAUUACUAUCUGUUAGUUCUAGCUAACAACAUUCACAUAUUGAUAUAGAAGUAACUGACAGGUUAAAAAUUGAUAACUAUAUUUACAUAUUCCCAGACCUGAAACUGACAGUUAUAGAGUUGUAAAUACACUCAUGCAUUCACAUAUGAGGCUGACAGGGACAAAUUUAAAACUACAUUUCACAGAGCACAAGAACAAGAACAGAUUGAUCAUUGCACUCACACAUUCACAUAGCAGGAACUAACAGGUACAGAUUGAUAAUUAUACUCACAUUUUGAAGUAUCAGAUGCUUGCAACCAGAGAUUAAUUACUACACUCUCAUAUGCACAGUGCAGAAACUGACAGGUGACUUAUAACUGCACUCAAACAUUCACAUGGCAGAAACUAAUAUAAACAGAUUGAUAACAACUCACAUAUUUAUAUGGCAGAAAUAGACAGUGACUGAUUGCUGUGUGGAUAUGUAAAUAUAUUUAUCAGUCAGUCUCUGUCAAUUUCUACAAUGUGGAUAUGUCAGUUUAGUUAUCAGUCUGUACUUGACAGUUUAUGUAAUGUGAUCAUGUGAGGGGAGUACAGUGGAUGUUGUCUAUAUGGAUUUUCGUAAGGUAUUUGACAAGGUGCCACAUAGCAGACUGGUCCAAAAAGUAAAAGCCUGUGGGAUACAGGGUAAUAUGCUGAAUUGGAUCCAACGAUGGCUCAGUAACAGGAAACAAAAUGUAAUGGUUGAUUGCUGCCUUUGUGAAUACAAAGCUGUUUCAAGUGGUGCUCAGCACGGCUCACUGUUGGGACCCCUGCUAUUUGUUUUCUACAUUAACAAUUUGGACUUGAAUGUGGAGGGCUCAUUUGAGAAAUUCGCAGACAACACAAAACUUGGCCAUGUAGUAGGUAGUGUAGAGGAUAAUUGUAAGAUGCAAAAUGAUAUAGAUCAUUUAGUUGAGUGGGCUGGAAAGUGGCAGAUGGAGUUCAGCUCUGAUAAAGGUGAGAUAAUGCACUUUGGAAGCUCAAACAUUAAAUGGAAAUCGAAAAUAAAUGAGAAUAUACUGAGAGGGGUAGAUGAAGUGAGAGAUCUUUGCAUGCAGGUGCACAGAUCCCUAAAGGUAGCAGAACAGGCAUUUAGAGUUAUAAACAAGGCAUGUAAAAUGCUAUCCUUCAUUGGCAGUGGUAUGGAAUACAGAAGUAGGGAUAUAACUGUGAAACUGUAUACGGAACGGGUGAGGCCACAACUGGAGCAUUGUGUGCAGUUCUGGUUACCACAUUACAGGAAGGAUGUAAUUGCUGUGGAGAGAGUGCAGAGGAGAUUUACUAGAAUGUUGCCAGGGCUGGAGAUUGUAGCUACGAGGAGAGAUUGGAGAGGUUGGAGUUAUAUUGCUUAGAAUACAGGAGGCUGAGCAAUGUCAUGAUUUAAGAAAACUAAAUUGUGAGAGGGAGAGAUAGAGUAGACAGGAUGAACCUGUUUCCCUUGGCAGAAACUGUUCAAAACCAGAGGGCAUCGAUCGAAGCUCAGUGGCUGAAGGAUCAGACGAUACUUGAGGAAAAUUGUUUUUUAAUGCAGAGGGUGGUGGGUAUCUAGAAUUUGCUGUCUGAAUUGGUGGAGUCAGAGACUCUAAACUGUUUUAAAGGUAAGUUACCUGGAUCUGCACCUUUAGUUCUGUAAGCUGCAGGGUUAUGAGCGGUAUGCAGGAAGAUAGAACAAGAAGGGAUCUCUGGAGGUCUUUGGGUCAGCUCGGGCAAAUGGGCUGAAUCGUCCACUCUGUCCUGUGUCAUUUUUAUGGUUGUAUAGUUAUCAACCUUUCCCUGUCAGUCUCUGCUGUGUGACUAUGUAAAUAUAUUUACAGAGACUUGACAUGAACAGGUUGACUGGGCUGUGCACACCACCUUCUGUAGUUUCAUACAGUCCUGGGCAGAGCAGUUGCUACACCAGGGCAUUAUGCACCCAGACAGUGACACUUUCAAUUGUGCAUCUGUAGAAGUUGGUGAGAGUCCCUAUGGACAUGCCAAAUUUCCUGAGCCGCCUGAGGAAGAAGAGGUGUUGUUGUCUUCUUGACUGUUGCAUCUACGUAGGAAGUCCAGGGCAGGUUGUUGGUUAUUGUCACUCUGAGGAACUUGGUGCUCUCCACCCUCUCAACCUCAGUUCCAUUGAUGUAGAUGAGGGAGGUGGUGGUGGGGAGGGGCAUGUUCUCCUGCUUUCUUUCUGAAGUCAAUGAACACUUCUUUAGUUUUUCCGACAUUGAGAAAGAGGUUACCUUCACUGCACCAAUGUCAUCAAGCCCUCUAUCUCCCUUCUGGGUUUUGACUCAUGGUUGUUAGAUAUGUGCCCCACUAUGAUGGUGUCAUCAGUGAACUUGUAGAUGGUGAUCAGUUGGAAUUUGGCACCACAGUUUUGGGUGUACAGUAGGGGCCUGAGGAUGCAUCCUUGGGGGGUGGCCUCCAGUGUUGAGUGUUAUUGUAGAAGGAUGCAGUUGUCUAUCUUUACUGAUUGCGGUCUACGAGUCAGAAAGCUGAGGAUGUGAUUGCAGUGGGCGGAGCUGAGACCAAGGCCAUGGAGCUUUAAGAUCACUCUGUACGGAAUAAUGGUGUUGAAGGCAGAGCUGUAGUCAAUGAGCAGGAGUCUGACAUAGAUGGCUUUGUUGUCUAGAAGUUCUAGGGAUGAAUGAUCUCCUACAACCUCUUGCAUCAGGCAGAAAAUACAGAAACCUGAACAUAUGGAUGAGCAGGUUCAGGGCCAGCUUCUUCCUGGCUAUUCUAAGUUGAUGAAUGGACUCUUUAGCCUCAAAUAAUGACGAUCUUGCUAAUGUUGAUCUCACUGAGUGCACACCCUGUGUAAUGUAACCUGCAUGCCUCUGUCUAAGUCGUUUUGAUCUGUACAUCUUUGCUUACUGUGAUCUGACUGUACUACUCGUAAACAGAGCUUUUCACUGUAUCUCGCUGCAUGUGAAAUUUUUCAAAAAAAUUAACAUAGUAUAUACUGACAGGUACAUAUAGAUAACUACACACACACAUUCAACAAGUGGAAACUGACAGUUAUAGAUCGAUAACUAAACUCACAAACCCACAUACCCACUUGCAUCGGGUAGUCCCAUUCACGCAGCUGUAUCGGUGUUGGUUAGUUUUCGGAUCUCACUCAACUGGCUAUUAGAAUUUUAAGAAAAAAUAGAGAAGGAGCAGCUCAGGGUAGGAUUAGAAUCAGACCCUGGUUCUGUUCAAAUAGCUAGCU